rnacentral:tRNA from 1 species
CGGACAGAAGCCCGCUGGAUUGGGUGUUUAGCUGUUAACUAAAGUUUUACGGGAUCGAGGCCCGUCUGUCUAG